rnacentral:rRNA from 1 species
CCGGGAAACCGGUGCUAAUACCGAAUAUUGAAACAUAAGUGGCAUCACUGAGUUUUGAAAGAAUUUCGGUGGAGGAUGACUUCGCGGCCUAUCAGCUAGUUGGUGAGGUAAUGGCUCACCAAGGCAACGACGGGUAGCCGGCCUGAGAGGGCGACCGGCCACACUGGGACUGAGACACGGCCCAGACUCCUACGGGAGGCAGCAGUGGGGAAUAUUGGGCAAUGGAGGAAACUCUGACCCAGCGACGCCGCGUGCGGGAUGAAGGCCUUCGGGUUGUAAACCGCUUUCAGUAUGGAAGAAGCGAAAGUGACGGUACCUACAAAAGAAGCACCGGCUAACUAUGUGCCAGCAGCCGCGGUAAUACAUAGGGUGCAAGCGUUGUCCGGAAUUAUUGGGCGUAAAGAG